AAUGUUGAACAAUUUGAAAUUAGCACAUAAUCAAAGUCAUAAACUGAUUAUUGUAAACAACCAAAGAGUCGAAAAAUAUCAAACAACCAUAAUUCUAGUAAACGGCUAAUUUAUUAAUAAUUACUUCUAGGGAUUUCUUUGAUAUCCUAUGCUCUCUCAAUUUCCUUUGCAUUACGGGAAGGACAUCCACAUGGCCCAACAAUUCCUGCUUGGAGAGAGUGGGGCUUAAAAAUAGAAGGCCCAAGAACUAGCAUAUGGGCAGGACAUAGGCCUAUCAGAUAAAAGACCAAUAUUACCCCUGACAUAGCUUAUAUAAACUCCACCAUUCAACAUUGAAGGCGCCAUUUCUCUCUCUCUCUCUCUCUCUCUCUCUCUGUGCAGCGAGAGCGAGUUCGAGUUCAGCUUCUCCAAAAUGAAGGUUUCUCUUAUAGAUUUGACAAUUAUCAAAUUUCUUGUAAUCCAUCCUGAAUACGCUAAUAUAUUUUCCUUCAAAUUGUUUCAGAUCCAGUACAGCAACUCCAAAUCAAAAGUCUCUCUACCAUCUUCUGUAUUUUAUCUUAUAGAUCUGAUAAUUUCUAAUUAGAAUUUCUUAUAAUCCGUCCUAAAUACACUAAUAAUCUUUUCCUUGAAAUUGUUUUUGGUAUUUGCCGGCAAGUCCUUCAACUCCAAAUUAAUAGUUUUUCUGCGAUUUGCUGAUUUUAUCUUAUAGAUAUUAGAUUCUCAUUUUUUCUUGUUGGUUGACAAUCUGAAUUGAGAAAACUCAAUGUGUGAGUUAAUGAAUUUGUUGACAAUGCUGAACUUAAUUUAUGCAGAGCAGUAUGCUGAUGAAGUCACUACACUCUAACGAUGUGAUGGUAUGGCCUUCACUAAGUCGACCGUGAAAAUAUUUAAACAAACUGAGAAAGGGCUUAAAUAGAUGUACAGAGAUCGAGUUUGUUACAAUUUGAAAUCUGAUUGGGAUUACCAAGAUAUAUUUUGGCUGUUACAUUCCUAUCUAUCAGAGGAAGGUGAAGCAGAGUUUAUCUCGUUUCGUAUAUCUUUAUCUAUUGAUGUAGAGUUUGCUUCUUGAUGGUAUUCUGUAUCAAUCUGUCCAACGUUCCCCUGUAAGCACCAUUAGCUUGGAACGCAGUCAAUAUUUUGAUUCAAUUUGGACCUGAAUAUGCUAUUGAAUGCGAUCUUAUUAUGAUGAACAGAAAUGGAGGAGAAUAAGCUCAUGCCUAAAACAAUUGUUGGAAAAAUUGGCCAAUUUUGACACGAGUUUUGAGUGGGACCCGGUUGUUCAAUUUGGAAGAUGAAAGUUGAUUUGUGUUCUCCUCCGUGAGUACAUCGAAAUCAUAUACUUACUUGCCAAAGUUGAUGCUCGGGUGAAUGAGAAAUUGAUGCUCAAAGUGUGCCACUCAAAAGGGAGUUUAUGUGGGAAAAAUAAAUUUGUCCCACAUAGGAAAAAGAUGAGGAACUCCAAAGGUCAUUGUCAUUAAUGGUAGCCUAACCUAUAAAUAGUGGCUCAUUUUCCUCAUUUCA
rnacentral:lncRNA from 1 species